GCCUAAAUAGCUCAGUUGGGAGAGCGUUAGACUAUACAUCGAAAAGUACCCGGUUCGAUCCAGGGUUUUGAGU
rnacentral:tRNA from 1 species